rnacentral:RNase_P_RNA from 1 species
GCGGGCAUUCGCCGGCGGCUCGUCCGCUGGAGGAAAGUCCGGACACCACAGAGCGGGAUUCCGUUUGAAAAAACGGGGCGCGCGCCGAAAGGUUCGCGCAUGGAAAGUGCAGCAGAAAACAAACCGCCGCGAAAGCGGUAAGGGUGAAAAGGCGGGGUAAGAGCCCACCGCCGCGCGGAGCAAUCCGGGCGGGCAGUGAAAACCCAAUCCGGUGCAAGACAACAUAGGACGCGGAGUUGCUCGCUCUAACGCGUUGGGUAUGUCGCAUCCCCGCGAGGGGAGGCUUCGCAAGGGGCCAGAUAAAUGAAUGCCGGUUUCUUCGGAAACUACAAAAUCCGGCUUACAGCCGAA